ensembl:snoRNA
GGUCAAUGAUGUUUUGGCAUGUCUUAUCUGAAUCUACUGCUGAUGUGUAAUAACACUUUAGCUCUAGAAUUACUCUGAGACCUU